GAUGAACGCUGGCGGCGUGCCUAAUACAUGCAAGUCGAGCGAACAGAUGAGGAGCUUGCUCCUCUGACGUUAGCGGCGGACGGGUGAGUCACACGUGGAUAACCUACCUAUAAGACUGGGAUAACUUCGGGAAACCGGAGCUAAUACCGGAUAAUAUAUUGAACCUCAUGGUUCAAUAGUUAAAUACGGUUUUGCUGUCCCUUAUAGAUGGAUCCGCGCCGCAUUCGCUAGUUGGUAAGGUAACGGCUUACCAAGGCUACGAUGCGUAGCCGACCUGAAAGGGUGAUCGGCCACACUGGAACUGAGACACGGUCCAGACUCCUACGGGAGGCAGCAGUAGGGAAUCUUCCGCAAUGGGCGAAAGCCUGACGGAGCAACGCCGCGUGAGUGAUGAAGGUCUUCGGAUCGUAAAACUCUGUUAGUAGGGAAGAACAAAUGUGUAAGUAACUAUGCACGUCUUGACGGUACCUAAUCAGAAAGCCACGGCUAACUACGUG
rnacentral:rRNA from 1 species